ensembl:lncRNA
UUUUUUUUUUCUUUUUAGGGCCACAUUUGCGGCAUAUGGAAGUUCCCAGGAUAGGGGUCCAAUUGGAGCUACAGCAGCUGGCCUACACCACAGCAACACCUGAUCCAAGCUGAGUCUCGACCUACACCACAGUUCCUGGCAACGCCAGAUCCCCGACCCACCCAGCGAGGCCAGGGAUCAAACCCACAUCCUCAUAGACACUAGAAGGAUUCGUUUCUGCUGUGCCACGACUGGAACUCCUAAAUUGCCAUUUUUAAUUAAAAAUGUUGUGGGGGGAAAGUUUAAAUGUAUGUUUUAUAGAAGACAAUAUGUUAUAAAAGGCUACAAAAGUAUAAGGACAUUGUUUUAGGGAGUUCCAAUUGUGGCUCAGUGGUUAACACCACAGCUCACGAACCAUGAGGUUGCGGGUUCGAUCCCUGGCCUCACUCAGUGGGUUAAGGAUCCAGCAUUGCCGUGAGCUGUGGUGUAGGUCACAGACAUGGUUUGGAUCUGGCAUUGCUGUGGCUGUGGCGUAAGCUGGCGGCUGUAGCUCCAAUUAGACCCCUAGCCUGGGGACCUCCAUAUGCCUUGGGUGCAGCCCUGGAAAAGACACACACACACACACACACACACACACACACACACACAAAAGACAAUAAAGACAUUGUUUUAAACAAAGAUCAAAUUCAAAUCUCUAAAUCCUCUUAAACACAAUUGUUGUUUACAAAUUUACACAUAUUUGGGUCUCAGUUGUCAAAAAGACAGUAUGAUUCUGAGAUUCUCAGGAAGAGUACUUUUAGUACGUCCUUUCACUCCAUGCAAAUUCUUAAGUUAUCAGAAGUCAACAACUUCUUUAACAUUAAUAUGUAAAAUUUCUAGGGGAGUUCCCGUCAUGGCUCAGUGGUUGAUGAAUCCGACUAGCAAUCAUGAGGUUGAGGGUUCCAUCCUUGUCCUUGCUCAGUGGGUUAAGGAUCCAGCAGCGUUGCCCUGAGCUGUGGUGUAGGUUGCAGAUGCGGCUCAGAUCCCAGGUUGCUGUGGCUCUGGUGUAGACUGGUAGUUAUAGCUCCAAUUCAACCCCUAGCCUGGGAACCUCCAUAUGCCGUGGGUGCGGCCCAAGAAAUGGCAAAAAAAAAAAAGACCAAAAAAAAAAAAAGCAAAAACAAACAAAAAAUUAAAAAAAAUAAAUAAAAUUUCUAGAAAUAUAAGGCCAUUAUGACUUAAAAAUAACUCUAACAACUAGGUUUCUUUUGAGGGAGGCAACACAAAACUCAGUCUACUGAAAAAUAUAAACCUAAAGAAAACCUGAAAUGAGAGUUCCCUGGCAGUCUAGUGGUUAGAAUAUAAUGUUUUCACUUCUGCAACCCAAGUUCAAUCCCUCAUCUAGGAACCGAGAUCCCACAUUGAGCUGCUGUACACCAUAGCCAAAAACAAAAAACAAAACAAAACAAAAAAACAAGAGAGAAAGAACAUAAAAUGUAUUUAUACCAAAUUCCAUUCUAACAAGGAAUGGAAAAAUAUGAAAGUAUAAAUGAUCUUUAAAAUCAAUUUUGGCAUGCUUUGCUGUCAGUUUUGAGAACUUAUUGGAGUUCCCUGGUGGCCUAGCAGGUUAAGGCAUUAUCCCUGCAUGGUAUGAGUUUGAUCCCUGGCCCAGGAACUUCUGAAUGCUGUGGGCAUAGCAAAAAAAAAAAUAAAAAAUAAAAAAAAAUUCAAUUUACCUUUCAAUUUUUUGCAAUUACAAAAAAAUGAGAGCUGCUGAAUUUUACAAAUGUAGUCUUCUAAUUUUUGCCCAUUUAUGAGGACCUAAAAUAAGAUAGUAAAAAAAAUUAAUGUAUCUUAAAAAGAAAAAUCUGGUUUCAGUCAGAACCAGAUACAACAGUCAAUUUUAGAAUAGGUGCUGAAAAAAACAGGAAGAAGUGUUCACACUGCCUUUGCUAUUUAGUCUUUAGGAUUAUAGAUAAUUCUUUCCAAGUCAUCAUCAUUAAAUGUCUUUGCUUUCCCCAGUACCUCAUCACUAUGGGGCUUGCAAGAACUGAGCCAAAUUCUAUAUCCUUGUAGGAGUUGUUUUUGUGGUGAUUUUUGUCUUGUCUUGUUUUGUUCUUGGUAGAAGAAUUACAAACCAAUUUCUUCAAUAUACUUUAAGUUGAAAAUAUCUCAAGUAAAGCUCUGUCUCUACUGUAAACCAAGAACAAGUGGUACUGCUCACUGCUCAGUUCCACAAGGGUUAAGUUGUAAACCUCAGCAGCUGCCCUCUAGCAGUGCAACCUGAGAGGAAUUUAGAGUGAAAAAUAGGGUAAGGCAUUUUUGCACCUUCCCAUACACAAAAAAAGCACUAAAAUCAUUAACUUGAGGUAUCUGUUCUUUAUGAUUAGCAAUAAUCUUUUACUAAGAUAUAUGCUUGACUGCAUGUAGUUAUGGCCAAAAACCCUAUAUAAAACUGGCUUUUCUCCUGCCUAUCUGGAGCAGUUUGCUCAGAGCUGAGUGGCUAUCUCCCAGACUAUAGUCCUCAGCAAGACCUUGUAGAAAAUUUAAACUCACAACUCUCGUGUGUCUUUAAGGCAACACUACGUUUAAGGGUAAUAAAGCUUAUGAGAAGGCCAGUUUGCACCAGACAUCAAGAGAUGUUCCGUCCUCUGCCACAUCCAAAAGAACCAAUCACAAACUCCCUACCAAAACACCCCACCCCAUUCAACCUCAAACCUCCUCUACCCACACGCACAAGCUGACAGCUCCACACAUAGACAUGUGAAAAUAAAACAUUUCCAAACACAAAUACAAUUUCAGGAAUGAGAAGUAUCCUGAGACACAAGAGUUCAGGAGAAAGCAACCACAUAAUUUUAGUCUUAAUGAAGCAAAACCUAACAUUAUUUGCUGUCAAAGUAAGGGUUGUGGACUGGAAGCUUAAGAAAAAAAAAACCUACCAUCAUAGAAAAAAAAAAAAAAAAAAAAAAAAGAAAUAAAGCCNNNNNNNNNNNNNNNNUUGCAGCAACAUGGAUGGACCUAGAGGUUAUCAUACUAAGUGAAGUAAGUCAGGCAGACACAAAUAUAUGCUAUCAUUGAUAU